AGUCGUAACAAGGUUUCCGUAGGUGAACCUGCGGAAGGAUCAUUACUGAGUGAGGGCCCUCUGGGUCCAACCUCCCACCCGUGUUUUAUUGUACCUUGUUGCUUCGGCAGGCCCGCCUCACGGCCGCCGGGGGGCCUCUGCCCCCGGGCCCGCGCCUGCCGAAGACACCCUUGAACGCUGUCUGAAGUUUGCAGUCUGAGCGAAAAGCAAAAUUUAUUAAAACUUUCAACAACGGAUCUCUUGGUUCCGGCAUCGAUGAAGAACGCAGCGAAAUGCGAUAACUAAUGUGAAUUGCAGAAUUCAGUGAAUCAUCGAGUCUUUGAACGCACAUUGCGCCCCCUGGUAUUCCGGGGGGCAUGCCUGUCCGAGCGUCAUUGCUGCCCUCAAGCACGGCUUGUGUGUUGGGCCUCCGUCCCCCACCCGGGGGACGGGCCCGAAAGGCAGCGGCGGCACCGUGUCCGGUCCUCGAGCGUAUGGGGCUUUGUCACCCGCUCUGUAGGCCCGGCCGGCGCCUGCCGACCCUCAUCAUCCUUUUUUCAGGUUGACCUCGGAUCAGGUAGGGAUACCCGCUGAACUUAAGCAUAUCAAUAA
rnacentral:misc_RNA from 1 species